rnacentral:rRNA from 1 species
UACGUAGGGGGCAAGCGUUGUUCGGAAUUACUGGGCGUAAAGCGCAUGUAGGCGGCAGCGCAAGUCGGGCGUGAAAUCCCACGGCUCAACCGUGGAAGUGCACUCGAAACUGCGCAGCUAGAGUCCUGGAGAGGAAGGUGGAAUGCUUGGUGUAGAGGUGAAAUUCGUAGAUAUCAAGCGGAACACCGGUGGCGAAGGCGGCCUUCUGGACAGUGACUGACGCUGAGAUGCGAAAGCGUGGGGAUCAAACAGG